GUUACUGGCGGGUAAGCGAUGGCUCUUAAUAAUUGACUAGAUAACUAGUCAGUGGCGGGUAAAGAGUUAAUGUUUGUAACUUCUGAAGUCAUUUCUGUUGUCAAGGUCACCCUGACACGACGCUUUAAUAUUGUGACAUCAUAAAGCCCACGCUCAAGUCAUCGCGUGUGGAGCAGCACGAGUCGUUCAUGCGUCACAUCUGAAGUUCGCGCCUCCUGACAGCAGCUGGAUUUAUCCUCCAAAAGUUCUAGAUGAGAGUUGAGUUGCCGUGACAACCGUGACGCAUCAUCAGUCAACAAAGAGCAACACCAAACUCUCAUCUCUCUCAACUCUUCUCUUUUAUUGUAAAAGUUCUAGAUGAGAGUUGAGUUGCCGUGACAACCGUGACGCAUCAUCAGUCAACAAAGAGCAACACCAAACUCUCAUCUCUCUCAACUCUUCUCUUUUAUUGUAAAAGGAGGAGACGGGAAUACCCGGAGUAAACCCACGCUGACACCGGGAGAACAUGCAAACCCCACACAGAAAGCCCACCUGACCUAACCGGUGCUCGAACCGCUGACCUUUUUGCUGCCCUGUUUGACUCUCAUUAUAAAGACAAAAUCAACGCAUUUCAGAGAAGCAUGACUUAAGGAGCAACACGGUAUGUGGAAUCUAUCUAUCUAUCUAUCUAUCUAUCUAUCUAUCUAUCUAUCUAUCUAUCUAUCUAUCUAUCUAUCUAUCUAUCUAUCUAUCUAUCUAUCUAUCUAUCUAUCUAUCUAUCUAUCUAUCUAUCUAUCUAUCUAUCUAUCUAUCUAUCUAUCUAUCUAUCUAUCUAGUACUAACACUAGCGGUCAGUCUUAAGUGUCUAACACUUCUUCUUCUCUACAAUUCUUUACUAUGAUUAUAAUCCAGCCUGAUAAGUCCCAUUCUAAGUGAUUCGUUUAUGAUUUAUCUGGUGCAGUGUCGAUAAGCCCCUGUGUUUCUCUGUAACCUAACACUUGUUAGAUGAAUCAAAGGCUUCGCUAUGGUGAGUUCUCCACUAGGCUUGUACCGCUGAACUGACUCGAGUCUGUUCAGUCGGGGUGCUGUGGUAGUCCACUCUUUCUGCACCUUAGGCAGCAAUAUGCAGUGUGGCCUCUGCCAUCGGGCACUCCAAUCGCUAACCGUGCCAACUGACAUAAGACCCUAGUGGCUGUGCCAGUUGGUGGGUGACACUUUUGAGUGCCGACCGGUGUGUUAGAGGCGUGACUGUUGAGCAGUCGAGGUGGGGAGGGCAGACGGCCCAGCGCUCUUGGCUGCGUGCUCAGGGAAGCGCCUUGUCUGUGGGUUCCACCUGGGUAGCCUUAAAUAGUCAACAAGUGUAGUGAAAGAGAUGCACUUUUCUCCCCUUUGUAGCCACUAGAGGCACCAGAUGUAAGGUAGCAUUUCCUAUCCUUCAAAGGUCUAUCUAUCUAUCUAUCUAUCUAUCUAUCUAUCUAUCUAUCUAUCUAUCUAUCUAUCUAUCUAUCUAUCUAUCUAUCUAUCUAUCUAUCUAUCUCUAGCACGACUAACAUGCAGAUUAAAGCAAUGCACAAAAAAGAUGCUAGAGGCUCGACCGCGGCUCUGCCGCGGUUAGUCGCUAGCACGACUAACAUGCAGAUUAAAGCAAUGCACAAAAAAGAUGCUAGAGGCUAACAUGCAGAAUAAAGCAAUACACAAAAAAGAUGCUAGAGGCUCGGCCGCGGUGGUCCGGUUUGGCGCCGAUGGUGAUACAAGAGUCUCUAGCACAAAAAAAGAUGCUAGAGGCUUGACCGCGGCUCUGCCGCGGUUAGUCGCUAGCACGACUAACAUGCAGAUUAGAGUAAUGCACAAAAAAGAUGCUAGAGGCUAACAUGCAGAAUAAAGCAAUACACAAAAAAGAUGCUAGAGGCUCGGCCGCGGUGGUCCGGUUUGGCGCCGAUGGUGAUACAAGAGUCUCUAGCACAAAAAAGAUGCUAGAGGCUUGACCGCGGCUCUGCCGCGGUUAGUCGCUAGCACGACUAACAUGCAGAUUAGAGUAAUGCACAAAAAAGAUGCUAGAGGCUAACAUGCAGAAUAAAGCAAUACACAAAAAAGAUGCUAGAGGCUCGGCCGCGGUGGUCCGGUUUGGCGCCGAUGGUGAUACAAGAGUCUCUAGCACAAUAAAAGAU